rnacentral:lncRNA from 1 species
UAUAAACGUUUAAUUCAUGCACUGAAAGAACCAGUGCCAGUGACUGUCGUUCAUAAAAAGACCAACAUUAGUCCGUUUACCAAAAGUGACAUCAGUUUGCCUCCCUCUCUGAUGGAAGUUCCAACUAGCAACACUUUGGACGAUUUAAUUUUAUUAUCGGUUCCUCAACUUUAUCAAAAAUACGUUCCUCAUGUAAUUCAAAUGCUAAAAUCGCAUCGAUAUGACUGGAACGAUCAGGGACAAUUAAUUAUUAACAAGUACAGAUUAAGAAUACGUAGAUGGGGAACUCCCUAUACUUACAAUGUUCUAAAAAUUGUAUUGAUUAGCCAAUCAGCGUUCGGCACUGAUACCCAAUGAGGAAAAUUCGAACUAAAAAUGACGUCAUAUAUCACCUCCUAAACAUGCCUUCAUCACGUGAUCAGUGACGUAUAUAUGACGUAGUUUGUAAUGCGCGACAGUCCUGUUGUACUUAGGAGACCUUUCUUUUUUAAAUUUCAUUCGAAAAUUAUUUUACUUCAUUUCUUAAAUUUAAAACUUCAUAUAGCAUUUUUCCUUUAAAAAAUUAAAAUGUCUAUAUAACAAAAAUACAAAUUUGUUCCGAUAGUGAAUAAAUGAAUUGCAUGUUUUUACGACAAGAAAUGACAACUAUAAAUACAGAAUAUACUACAAUUUACAAUAUAAGUUAUUCCUCUUAUACAUAUAAUCAAAGAAUUAAUCAUACGAAGUAAUUUAAAACAAACUAAAUUACAUAAGAUAAUACAUAUGAAAAAUACGCAAGGGAAAAUAACCAUUGGCCACACUGCCAUUUUUCAGGUUUUCCCAAAAAGAGAACAUAUAAUGAAAUACAAAUAUUAAAGUACAUACAGAAUAAAACGCAAAAAGAAAAAAUUAUAAAGUAAAAUUCAGGAAGUUACAAAGAAAGUAAAUCACAUAAUAAAACAAAAACAAUCUAAUUAAUUACCAAUAUUAAUAACAUAUAGAUUAAACAAAACGAGAUUCCUGUUUGUAGAUAGUCUUUAAUAACCGAUUUAAUUUAAUGCAUGAAGGAAUUAUUUUUAUUUCUAAUUUUAACGAAUUCCAUAAAUUUAUUGAUAUAUAAAUUAUAGAUUUCUGAACAGUACCUAGAUUACAUUUGGGAACAUUUUUGUUAUAACUAUACCUAGUAGAUAAAAUAUUUUUGUUAUGAAAUUGAUAAAGAGAAUAAAAAACUUCUAAUUUCUGUGCAGUAUAG